GAUGAACGCUAGCGGCAGGCCUAAUACAUGCAAGUCGGACGGGAUUUGGGAGCUUGCUCCUAAUGAGAGUGGCGCACGGGUGCGUAACACGUAUGUAACCUACCUUAAUCAGGGGGAUAGCCUCUCGAAAGAGAGAUUAACACCGCAUAACAUAUUUUUAUGGCAUCGUAGAAAUAUCAAAUAUUUAUAGGAUUAAGAUGGGCAUGCGGAACAUUAGCUAGUUGGUAAGGUAACGGCUUACCAAGGCUACGAUGUUUAGGGGAUCUGAGAGGAUGACCCCCCACACUGGUACUGAGACACGGACCAGACUCCUACGGGAGGCAGCAGUAAGGAAUAUUGGUCAAUGGGCGCAAGCCUGAACCAGCCAUUCCGCGUGCAGGAUGAAGGCCCUCGGGUUGUAAACUGCUUUUGUACAGAACGAAAAGGUUUCUACUAAUACUAGGAGCUCAUGACGGUACUGUAAGAAUAAGCACCGGCUAACUACGUGCCAGCCGCCCGCAGUAA
rnacentral:rRNA from 1 species